CCUACGGGUGGCUGCAGUAGGGAAUCUUCCACAAUGGACGAAAGUCUGAUGGAGCAACGCCGCGUGAGUGAAGAAGGGUUUCGGCUCGUAAGGCUCUGUGGGUAGUGAAGAAAGAUAGAGGGAGUAACUGGCCGUUAGUUGACGGUAAUUACGUAGAAAGCCACGGCUAACUACGUGCCAGCAGCCGCGGUAAUACGUAGGUGGCAAGCGUGGGCCGGAUUUCUUGGGCGUAAAGCGAGUGAAGGCGGUUCGAUAAGUCUGUUGUGAAAGCCUUCGGCUCAACCGGAGAAUUGCAUCCGAAACUGUUGACCUUGAGUGCAGGAGAGGAGAGUGGAACUCCAUGUGUAGCGGUGUAAUGCGUCGAUAUAUGG
rnacentral:rRNA from 1 species